CGUACCUUUUGGUUCGGAACAACCCAGGGAAACUUGGACUAAUACCGGAUAAGCCCUUGCGGGGAAAGAUUUAUCGCCGAAAGAUCGGCCCGCGUCUGAUUAGCUAGUUGGUGAGGUAACGGCUCACCAAGGCGACGAUCAGUAGCUGGUCUGAGAGGAUGAUCAGCCACAUUGGGACUGAGACACGGCCCAAACUCCUACGGGAGGCAGCAGUGGGGAAUAUUGGACAAUGGGCGCAAGCCUGAUCCAGCCAUGCCGCGUGAGUGAUGAAGGCCCUAGGGUUGUAAAGCUCUUUUGUGCGGGAAGAUAAUGACGGUACCGCAAGAAUAAGCCCCGGCUAACUUCGUGCCAGCAGCCGCGGUAAUACGAAGGGGGCUAGCGUUGCUCGGAAUCACUGGGCGUAAAGGGUGCGUAGGCGGGUCUUUAAGUCAGGGGUGAAAUCCUGGAGCUCAACUCCAGAACUGCCUUUGAUACUGAAGAUCUUGAGUUCGGGAGAGGUGAGUGGAACUGCGAGUGUAGAGGUGAAAUUCGUAGAUAUUCGCAAGAACACCAGUGGCGAAGGCGGCUCACUGGCCCGAUACUGACGCUGAGGCACGAAAGCGUGGGGAGCAAACAGGAUUAGAUACCCUGGUAGUCCACGCCGUA
rnacentral:rRNA from 1 species